rnacentral:rRNA from 1 species
UGACCCGUCUUGAAACACGGACCAAGGAGUUUAUCGUGUGCGCAAGUCAUUGGGUGUUGAAAACUCAAAGGCGCAAUGAAAGUAAAGAAUCCGCAAGGAUACGACGUGUGAUCUGAGCAAUCACGAUUGCCUGGAGCAACAUGGCCCCAUUCUGGUCGCUUGCGACGGGGUGGAGGAAGAGCGUACGCGGUGAGACCCGAAAGAUGGUGAACUAUUCCUGAGCAGGAAAAGCCAGAGGAAACUCUGGUGGAAGUCCGAAGCGAUUCUGACGUGCAAAUCGAU